rnacentral:lncRNA from 1 species
ACUGUUUCAAUCUCCUUGGAGGGGUGGCAGGGAACUUCCCCAAAAGUGACUGACAGACGGGCUGCUUGGAGCUCUGAGGGCCUCAAGGAGAGCGGAGGAGGGGCUGCCUUCAGCUGGGAAGGUGAGAGAAGAGCCUGAAGCAGAGGGGGGUCUCCACUACAGACUUUCCAGCUGCUGCUUGGGAACAACUGAUAAGCCAGGAAGGCAGCUGGAGCAUAGGCUGAGAAGCAAAGAGCAGGCUGUGCAAAGACAGAGUUUCACUCUUGUUGCCCAGGCUGGAGUGCAAUGGCACAAUCUCAGCUCACUGCAGCCUCCACCUCCCAGGUUCAAGCAAUUCUCCUGCCUCAACCUCCUAAGUAGCUGGGAUUACAGGUUCAAGUGAUCCUUCCACCUCACCCUCCUGAGCAGCUAGGACUACAGGCAUGUGCCACCAUGCCUGGCUAAUUUUUAGGAAAGAGGGGGGUUUCACUGUGUUGGCCAGGCUGGUCUCAAACUCCUGACCUCAAAUGAUCCGCCUGCCUUUGCCUCCCAAAGUGCUGGGAUUUCAGGUAUGAGUCACUGGGGCCCAGCCCACAGUAUUUUUCAUCUUAGACAUUGUAGAAGUUCAGCAACUGUAGAAUCUCAGCAACUGUAGAAGUUCAGUUUGGGGGCCUUCCCACAGCCCUCUGCUAUUAUCUUCCUUGUCUCUGCUUAACUUUUGAACACAUGAAAUGUAGUUAUAAUAACUGUUUUAAUGUCCAUCUCCGCUAAUUCUGACAUCUACAUUAAUUCUGGGUUGGUUUGAACGGGUAAUUUUUCUCUUCCUUUUAGAUCAUAUCUUUUAGCUUCUUUAUUACACCUGGUAAUUUUUAAUUGGAUGGCAGACAUUCUGAAUUACAUCUUGUUUUUUGCAUGAAUAAGAUAUCUUGUAUUCCUGUAGUUACUGUCUUCCUCUUACUGCCUUAGUCUUUCUAGACUCUUAGCUGUGUCUCCUCGAUUGAGGGGCCUGGUGAAUUCUGCUUGAAUUACUCCUCCAUGUGCUAUGGCCUGGAAACUCUUUCAAGUCCCUAAGCUGGAGCAGUUAUAGGCUUCCCGUCAUUUGUUCCUUAUCACGCAGGGAUCACCGUCCUUUGUUGCCUGCUAU